CAACUAUGGAGAGUUUGAUCCUGGCUCAGGAUGAACGCUAGCGGCAGGCCUAAUACAUGCAAGUCGAACGGUAACAUUUCCUUCGGGAAGAUGACGAGUGGCGCACGGGUGAGUAACACGUACACAACCUACCUUACAGCGGGGCAUAGCCUCGGGAAACUGAGAGUAAUACCCCAUAGAAUUGAGACA
rnacentral:rRNA from 1 species